rnacentral:rRNA from 1 species
CCUACGGGUGGCUGCAGUGAGGAAUAUUGGUCAAUGGACGAGAGUCUGAACCAGCCAAGUAGCGUGAAGGAUGACUGCCCUAUGGGUUGUAAACUUCUUUUAUAUGGGAAUAAAACGUUCCAUGCGUGGGAUUUUGUAUGUACCAUAUGAAUAAGGAUCGGCUAACUCCGUGCCAGCAGCCGCGGUAAUACGGAGGAUCCGAGCGUUAUCCGGAUUUAUUGGGGUUAAUGGGAGCGUAGGUGGAUUGUUAAGUCAGUUGUGAAAGUUUGCGGCUCAACCGUAAAAUUGCAGUUGAAACUGGCAGUCUUGAGUACAGUAGAGGUGGGCGGAAUUCGUGGUGUAGCGGUGAAAUGCUUAGAUAUCACGAAGAACUCCGAUUGCGAAGGCAGUUCACUGGACUGCAACUGACACUGAGGCUCGAAAGUGUGGGUAUCAAACAGGAUUAGAUACCCGAGUAGUC